ACCCGUUGAUCCUGCGGGGGGUUGCUGCUAUUGGGAUUCGACUUAGACAUGCAAGUCCAGGGGCUUUUCGGAGCACCGGCAGAAUGCUCAGUAACACGUCGUUAAUCUGCCCAUAGGUCAGGGAUAGCCUCGGGAAACUGAGGGUAAAACCUGAUAUGGAAUAUUUUCUGGAAGGAUUUAUUCUUCAAAAGUAAUGCCUAUGGAUGAGACGGCGGCCGAUUAGGUUGUUGGCGGAGUAAAGGCCCACCAAGCCUUCGAUCGGUAGAGGCCUUGAGAGAGGUAGCCUCGAGAAGGACACUGAGGAACUGGUCCUAGUCCUACGGGGUGCAGCAGUCGCGGAACCUUUACAAUGCACGAAAGUGUGAUAGGGGGAUCCCAAGUGCUUAUGCUUUGCAUAGGCUUUUGCCAAGAGUAAAUACCUUGGCGAAUAAGUGGUGGGUAAGACUGGUGCCAGCCGCCGCGGUAACACCAGCGCCACGAGUGGCAGCCGCGUUUAUUGGGCCUAAAGCGUCCGUAGCUGGUUUUGUAAAUUCUUUGUUAAAGCAUCAAGCUUAACUUGAUGACUGCAGGGAACACUGCAAGACUUGGGACCGGGAGGAGUCAGAAGUAUGUUUGGGGGCGCGGUAAAAUGCAUUAAUCCCAUACAGACUACCGAUGGCGAAGGCAUCUGACCAGAACGGGUCCGACAGUGAGGGACGAAGGCUAGGGGAGCGAACCGGAUUAGAUACCCGAGUAGUCCUAGCAGUAAACGCUGCGAGCUAGAUGUUAGACAUUCUCCGUGAAUGUCUAGUGUCGUAGAGAAGUCGUUAAGCUCGCCGCCUGGGAAGUAUGGUCGCAAGACUGAAACUUAAAGGAAUUGGCGGGGGAGCACUACAAGGGGUGCGGCGUGCGGUUUAAUCUAACUCCACACAGAAAAUCUCACCAGAAGCGACGGCAGGAUGAAAGUCAGGUUAAUGGCCUUACUAGACAAGCCGAGAGGUGGUGCAUGGCCGCCGUCAGCUCGUGCCGUAAGGUGUCCACCUAAGCGUGAUAACGAGCGAGACCCACGUCAACAAUUGCUAGUGUGUUUUUUAGAAUGCAUGCACAUUGUUGAGACUGCCUUGGAAACAAGGAGGAAGGUGUGGGCUACGGUAGGUCUGUAUGCCCCGAAUCUUCUGGGCAACACGCGCGCAACAAUGGUAAGGACAAUGGGAUACGACUCCGAGAGGAGAAGUUAAACCUCUAAACCUUACCUUAGUACAGAUUGAGGGCUGUAACUCGCCCUCAUGACGCUGGAAUCCCUAGUAAUCGGACGUCAACAGCGUCCGGUGAAUACGUCCCUGCUCCUUGCACACACCGCCCGUCAAGCCACUCGAGUUGGGUUUUGAUGAGCGUUAACCUUUAGUUAAUGCGAAUUAGAGCUUAGUGAGAUGGGCUAAGUCGUCACAAGGUA
rnacentral:rRNA from 1 species